AGUUUUGCGGAGUGGCAGUAUCGUAGCCAGUGGGGUUUAUCUGAGGCAGGAUCAUUGCUAAUUGAAAACUUUUCCAACAGAAAGAGAAAGACAAAUACCAUAUGAUAUCACUUAUAUGUGGAAUCCAAAUAUGA